rnacentral:rRNA from 1 species
GAUCAUGGCUCAGGAUGAACGCUAGCUACAGGCUUAACACAUGCAAGUCGAGGGGCAGCAUGAUCUUAGCUUGCUAAGAUGAUGGCGACCGGCGCACGGGUGAGUAACGCGUAUCCAACCUUCCCCUUAGUAGGGCAUAGCCCGGUGAAAAUCGGAUUAAUACCCUAUGUUGUGUCAUGAGGACAUCUGAAUAACACUAAAGAUUUAUCGCUAAGGGAUGGGGAUGCGUCCGAUUAGGUAGUCGGCGGGGUAACGGCCCACCGAGCCCUCGAUCGGUAGGGGUUCUGAGAGGAAGGUCCCCCACACUGGUACUGAGACACGGACCAGACUCCUACGGGAGGCAGCAAUGAGGAAUAUUGGUCAAUGGGCGUAAGCCUGAACCAGCCAAAGUAGCGUGCAGGAUGACGGCCCUAUGGGUUGUAAACUGUCUUUUAGUACGGGGAUAAAGUGAGGGACGUGUCCCUUAUUGUAGGUACCGUAUGAAUAAGGACCGGCUAAUUCCGUGCCAGCCGCCGC